rnacentral:rRNA from 1 species
CGAUUAAAGUGGUACGUGAGCUGGGUUUAGAACGUCGUGAGACAGUUCGGUCCCUAUCUGCCGUGGGUGUAGGAGAAUUGAGAGGGGCUGCCCCUAGUACGAGAGGACCGGGGUGGACGUACCUCUGGUGGACCGGUUGUCGCGCCAGCGGCACAGCCGGGUAGCUAAGUUCGGACGGGAUAACCGCUGAAAGCAUCUAAGCGGGAAGCCCCCCUCGAGAUGAGUACUCCCUUGAGAGCCGUGGAAGACCACCACGUUGAUAGGCCGGGUGUGGAAGUGUGGCAACACAUGAAGCUAACCGGUCCUAAUAGCUCGAUCGGCUUUAUCCUCC